AGGAGAAGCGCCGGCUAACUACGUGCCAGCUGCCGCGGUAAUACGUAAGGCGCGAGCGUUGUCCGGAAUUAUUGGGCAUAAAGAGCUCGUAGGCGGUCUGUCGCGUCUGAUGUGAAAGCCCCGGGAUUAACCCCGGGUCUGCAUUCGAUACGGACAGACUACAGUGAGGUAGGGGAGAUCGGAAUUCCUGCGGUAGCGGUAAAAUGCGCAGAUAUCACGAGGAACACCGGUGGCGAACGCGGAUCUCUGGGCCAUUACUGACGCUGAGGAGCGAAAGCGUGGGGAGCGAACAGGAUUAGAUACCC
rnacentral:rRNA from 1 species